GACGAACGCUGGCGGCGUGCUUAACACAUGCAAGUCGAACGGAAAGGCCCUGCUUUUGUGGGGUGCUCGAGUGGCGAACGGGUGAGUAACACGUGAGUAACCUGCCCUUGACUUUGUGAUAACUUCAGGAAACUGGUGCUAAUACCGGAUAGGAGCUCCUGCUGCAUGGUGGGGGUUGGAAAGUUUCGGCGGUUGGGGAUGGACUCGCGGCUUAUCAGCUUGUUGGUGGGGUAGUGGCUUACCAAGGCUUUGACGGGUAGCCGGCCUGAGAGGGUGACCGGCGACAUGGGGACUGAGAUACGGCCCAGACUCCUACGGGAGGCAGCAGGGGGGAAUAUUGCACAAUGGGCGGAAGCCUGAUGCAGCAACGCCGCGUGCGGGAUGAAGGCCUUCGGGUUGUAAACCGCUUUCGCCUGUGACGAAGCGUGAGUGACGGUAAUGGGUAAAGAAGCACCGGCUAACUACGUG
rnacentral:rRNA from 1 species